GACGAACGCUGGCGGCGUGCUUAACACAUGCAAGUCGAACGGAAAGGCCCUGCUUUUGUGGGGUGCUCGAGUGGCGAACGGGUGAGUAACACGUGAGUAACCUGCCCUUGACUUUGGGAUAACUUCAGGAAACUGGGGCUAAUACCGGAUAGGAGCUCCUGCUGCAUGGUGGGGGUUGGAAAGUUUCGGCGGUUGGGGAUGGACUCGCGGCUUAUCAGCUUGUUGGUGGGGUAGUGGCUUACCAAGGCUUUGACGGGUAGCCGGCCUGAGAGGGUGACCGGCCACAUUGGGACUGAGAUACGGCCCAGACUCCUACGGGAGGCAGCAGUGGGGAAUAUUGCACAAUGGGCGGAAGCCUGAUGCAGCAACGCCGCGUGCGGGAUGACGGCCUUCGGGUUGUAAACCGCUUUCGCCUGUGACGAAGCGUGAGUGACGGUAAUGGGUAAAGAGGCACCGGCUAACUACGUG
rnacentral:rRNA from 1 species